AAGGUCUUGGUCUUGAACCUCAUAUUACCUAAAAUCAUUUGUUUAUACAUGCAAGCCUCACCACACCGGUGAAACAGCCAUAGAAAUCCAGAGCCGGCAUCAGUUUAUUUACCAUAACGCCAAGCAAUAGCCACACCCCCACGGGCAACACAGCAGUAGUUAACAUUAGGCCAUAAGUGAAAACUUGACCAAGCGAAAUGAACACAAGGGCCGGUUAAUCUCGUGCCAGCGACCGCGGUUACACGAUAGGCCCAAGACAAUAUUAACGGCGUAAAAAUGACUAAAACAACAGUUAUAACUUUAGGGUAAAAACCAAACUAGGCUGUAAAAAGCCAUAAGUCACAUUAAUUUUUUCCCCCCUAACACCAUACAACUUUGACUCAUGAAAGCUAGGACACAAACUAAGAUUAGAUACCCUACUAUGCCUAGCCGUAAUACACAAUUAAAUUACCAAUUGUCCGCCAAACAACUACGAGUCAUACUUAAAACUUAAAAGACUUGACGGUACUUCACCACAACCUAGAGGAGCCUGUCUAAUAACCGACAAUCCACGAUUAACCCCACCCUUUCUCGCCCAACAGUCUAUAUACCGCCGUCGCCAGCUUACCUUGUAAAAGAAAUAAAGUGAGCCAAAGAGUACUACACUAAAACGACAGGUCGAGGUGUAACCAAUGAAAGGGACCAAGAUGGGCUACAUUCUCCCAGCCGAGAAUACGAAUAGCACUAUGAAACUAGUGCCUGAAGGCGGAUUUAGCAGUAAGAUAAGAAUAAAACACCUAACUGAACACAACGCAAUGAAGUGCGCACACACCGCCCGUCAUCCCUGCCACCACAACACUUAUAUCAAUAAACCAACUAAAAAAAUCAAACAGGGCAAGUCGUAACAUGGUAAGUGUACUGGAAAGUGUACUUAGAAA
rnacentral:ncRNA from 1 species